rnacentral:lncRNA from 10 species
CUUCGCCCUUCACCCACCAAGCCCUCGUCGUUCCUCUUCAACCCCAGCAUCCCCCUGGGUUCCUGUGCAGGCCUCGGCUUCCAGGAACCCUGCCUUGGAGUGUGUGUGUGGCUCUGUGACCGGCAAGCAGGAGGCCACGGCUGUCCCACCCUCAGGGCUCUCACAUGGUGAGUGGCUUGGAGGACACCCUCCAUGUGGAGCUCAGGGCCACCACCCCGACAAGGCCUGCAAGCGUGGGCUUGUGCCUAUCACUCAUGCCUUCCCAGCUACCUCGGCCCAGUGAGAGUUGAGCACUGCGCUGAGCGCUCACAGCUGGGUCCCAGGAUCCAGCUCCGUGAGGCUGCCCAACGCAGAGCAGAGGGCAGAGGCAGCCUGGGUGGCCCAGCCACUGCCCCAACCUGAGGUCUCCCAGCAGCACCAGGUCUGGAAAAUGCGAAUCCCAAGAAACAUAAAAGAAACCCUGAGGAUCACAAAGAAAGCUGCGCUCUUGAGAAACAAAUACAUAAACAAAAAUAAAAAGGAGAAGAGAAGCAAGUUCGGCUUAGAAUCAUGGUGAGGACCUGCAGGCAUGCACGUGGACGCUGACCCAUGGAGGGAAUUGGUGUUCUCUGACCAUCCCUUCAGUGCAGAACAUCAGUCACAAUUUAAGUUCUGUUUAGGUAAACAAAUGACCUUUUCCUAUGGGGCAUUUUCAUUUUAUAAGGGUAUGAGCUCAUAGCAGGGCAAAUCACUUGGUAGUUAAGACAUCAGAUGAUGGUUCUCAGGGUGGCCCAGGCAGUAGGACAAUCAGAGACUUUCAGCUGCCCAGACCCCUCCCUGGACAAGAGAUGUGCAUGGCGACCCCGGCCCCUCCCUGUCCAUGUGACUCUCUUCUCCAUGACACUGUACAAAGGAGAGAACGUCCACAGUGACCCAGCCCCCAUCAAGUCACCCAAAGCUUGUGGGAAACAACCAAUAUGGAAAGAUAAAAAUUACUAAAUGCAAAAGCUGCAGGGGAAUGACAGCAAACACAAAUAAAUGAAAUGAAUGUCUUUAACUUAAACUACUUCUGGCCUCACUGUGUGUGCUUUAUGGCUCUAUGAGGUCAUUUUUGUGCAAAUAGGUGCCCAAAAUUGGAGUGCGUUCAAUUGACCAUCCUUCAAAUAAAAAGUGAGCGUAUCCUAAAAUGUAGAGAAGUCAAGCCUUUUUUUUUUUUGAGAUGGAGUCUCACUCUGUCACCCAGGCUGGAGUGCAGUGGUGUAAUCUUGGCUCACUGCAGGCUCUGCCUCCCGGGUUCACACCAUUCUCCUGCCUCAGCCUCCCAAGCAGCUGGGACAACAGGCGCCCGCCACCACACCCGGCUAAUUGUUUUUGUUUUUUUUUUUGUAUUUUUUAGUAGAGACGGGGUUUUACCGUGUUAUCCAGGAUGGUCUUGAUCUCCUGACCUUGUGAUCCGCCUGCCUUGGCCUCCCAAGCUGGGAUUACAGGUGUGAGCCACCGCGCCCGGCCGAGAAGUCAAGUCUUUCAGGACAUACCUAAAGAAGAUAGCAUCCAUGGUGCAUGGAGCAUGUGCCUCACCAGGCAUCACCAUACCCACCACAGCUCAUGCGUGCGGAUGCCUUUGCUACCCAGGACGGCCAUACAAGGAAGCCAUUGGGUCAGUCCUGUGCACAAACGGCAUGUCAAGAAAUUAAAUGAUUUCCUCAGGGCCCCGCAAUUACCUUCAGCAAAGCUGAGAUUCCCAGCCUUCUCUCCGCUCCCUGAGACUGACUCUGAAUUGCUUUUCUGCUGGAGAUGAAAACAAGAACAGAAACAGUGGAAACUAAUCACAUUUUUAAAAGUUUUACAUAACCACUUAAUUAUAAUACGCCUGCCCCAAAAGCACUCCUAACGUCCUAACACAUGUACUUGUGAUUUUUCUUUAAACCUCAAAUAUUAUCGUCAUGGAAGAAAUACUCACAGUCCAUCAAGCUUGCCUGUCAGGAGCAUUUCCACCCUACAGACCAGCCAUGGAGGCAGAGUGCAGCCCGGGUCUGUGGGUCACCAGGCCUCAAAUGCCAUCCCAGCGCCAGUGAAAGUUUGCUGUGUUCCUUUACACUGUCCCCUGUGGGCCUGGCUUCCCUGUGAGAAGGUUAAAGAGCCCCAAACAAAACACGCAUUGAAACCUGCCUCCACAGCCCUCUCGGGCCUGCACAGGGCUGACCGGCACCCCUGGAGCCUGUCCACCUCUGGAAGGGCAGUUGCAUGGCUCUGAGCACCGACGGAAACCCCUCGACCUGGAGAGGCCGCCUGCGUGGGGCCGACGUUGCACAGGCUGACCUUGUAGGGCGGUGGGUGGGGGAUGCGGGGCAGGGGGCACAGCCCGGGCGCUCUUCCAGUGCUGGUUUGUCUAUUUCAUGUUGUCCACCCUGUCAUCCACCAAUUGUUCUUUGGGUCCAUUGGUAAUAAUAUCUCCCGCAUGGAUGGGCUCUUCCCAGAGCCUCGUGGGUGCUGAAUGAAGCCCAAGGAAUGGCCUUCACCAGACACUUUGUUUUGUUUUUUCUGUUUAUAAAAGGCAGGGCCCAGAUAGUUUCAUUUUCACAGGGACAUCUGUAAGCACACACUUUGAUUUACACUGGGAAGAGCCAAUGGUUCUCAUUUACAGAGGGUCAAGCUCCAGGAGGGAGGCAAGGGGACGCUUUGGAAAAUAAAGUUCUUCCUUUUACUCCUGUGGGCCUGAUGUGCUCUGUGAAGUUCAAACACUGUAUCGACCAUCUCAACUCUCAGGACAGCAUGUGACACCUCCAUCACUGGGAGCAAACUCUGUGCAGGAGCACCUGAUUCUGCCAGGGCAGGAAAUUCACUCUCAGAAGCAUGUUCCACUCAAGCGGACUUGGCCUGCGCUGUGAGUCAAUGUAAAGAGGGUGUGUUGGCUUCGGCUGGUUGACCUUCAGAAGUCGGAGAAGGCCAAAGUCCCACUGAAUAAACUGCAGAUGAAAGAGACUCAUGGGUCCUCAGAAGGAGGCAUAUGGCUGCUCUCGGGAUCUUGACUUUUGAAAUAUUUGUUUAAAGCAAACACUUGCAGUGGCCGUGGAAAGCCUCCCGUUUCCUCUGGACCCUCAGCCUCUCCCUCGCAGGGCACCGGGCUCUCUCCCUCGGGGACAAUGAGGCGAGAGAGGCUUUUGUUUAUUCUUCAGGAGUCUCUGAGAGUUCACAGUCAUGUUAAAAAUUAACCUGGGGCCAGGCGCGGUGGCUCAUGCCUGUAAUCCCAGCACUCUGGGAGGCCAAGGCACAGGCGGGUCACCUGAGGUCAGGAGUUCAAGACCAGCUUGGCCAACAUGGAGAAACCCCAUCUCUACUAAAAAUACAAAAAUGAGUCGGGUGUAGUGAUGGGUGCCUGUAGUCCCAGCUACUCAGGAGGCUGAGGCAGGAGACUCACUUGAACCCGGGAGGCGGAGUUUGCAGUGAACCGAGGUCGUGCCACCGUACUCCAGCCUGGGUGACAGAGUGAGACUCUGUCUCAAAAAAAAAAAAAAAAAAAAAUUAAGAAAAAGAAAAAAGAGACCAAGCAUGGUGGCUCAUGCCUGUAAUCCCAGCACUUUGGGAGGCCGAGGUAGGCUGAUCACCUGAGGUCAGGAGUUCAAGACCAGCCUGGCCAACAUGGUGAAACCACGUCUCUACUAAACGUAUAAAAAAUUAGCUGGGUGUGGUGGCGAGCACCUGUAAUCCCAGCUACUCAGGAGGCUGAGGCAGGAGAAUUGCUUGAACUUGGGAGGCAGAGAUUGUGGUGAGCCAAGAUCACGCCACUGCACUCCAGCCUGGGCGACAGAGUGAGACUGUGUCUAAAAAAAAAAAAAAAAAAAAAAUUAGCCUGGGCUCACACCAGCCUUGGGCUCCGCCGCUGGGCUCUCCUCAGAGUCCUUGGUCACACGGGCUGACACUUUGCCGAGUCCUGGCCCCAGGCCCAGAGGGACUCACCUUGCAGGAAGGGAGGGCCUCCUGAUUCCGGAUCCCACAGUCUGGAAUCACCAGACUGGGGCAAAUCCAUCUUCUGCCACUAAAACUUACCAGCAUCUUAAAGCCCAAAGUGCCCUUUUAUCUGUAUUUGCAAAUACAAGCUUAUUAUUUUCUAGAAAGAGACUCCUUACAACGAACAAAGUGCAAAGCAGUGUCCAUAUUUUAAUAGGCCUGAGCCUCAGGUGGGUGAUGCCUGCAUUUCAGGCUCAGCUCUGCACUUGAGCUGUAAAUAUGCGUUCCUUGAGAUUAAGACGAAAAGGAAAACCGUCCGACAAAUGUGUUUGGUGGAUUAUGACACCAUGACGCGUGGCCUCAGUUUCCUCACUUUGAAAAAUAUCCUUCAAGCAGCACAGAGCGGGCGGUUUGUCUCACGCUGGAGAAGGAAUUCAGACGCAAAGCUCGCCGCAGCCUCAGAGGGCAGGCGCACCAGGCUCCUGGGUUCUCUCCGUGAAGGAAACUGACGAAGCCUUCCCGAAGGCUGAUUUCUAACUGCCUGAUGCUUCCAACGAGGUGGAGCUGUGGGCACAGACUCCCCUGAAAAGCUGAAGACACGCGCGGAGAGUGGGCACUGGACACUGGUUUCCAGCCCCUUAGCCUGGUGCCUUCAGAGACCGCGCCCCACCUCAGGGCUCGGCUGGCAGCAGGAGCCGGCGUGGAACGGCACAGACGCCGGUGCUGGGGGUUGGGACGGGCGGGAUAGAGCCUCAAGUCUGUCUGCGGCCUGAGGCCUUUCUGUGGGCUGCUGCAGACGAUCACUGCCAGGUGGAGAAGAAAGCCCAAGACAAGCUCUGGUUUUUCUGCAUCUCUUAUUCCCAAACUGAUGUAUAUUUAGCUUCAGAGUAGCUGAACCUCCUCCUCCGCCCCCCAGCCCCCAUCUCCCUGUUAGAAACAAUCUGUGGGACCUGAACAUCCUCCCAGGGUCUAAGACCAGGCUCUCUGCUGAGCCACACUUUGAGAACAGUGCUGUAAUUAAAUACACACGUGUAUUUUUUUAAAAUAACAAAAUAUAUUUAAAAACGUAUUUUUCCUACCUAUUCCCUUGUAAUGUUUCUCUUUAGAUGUGAACAUAAUUAAAUGUAAAUUUGUUUUACUCCAUUUUUAUUAUCCAAGUGUUUUUUACUUUGUGAUUCUUUAAGUUCCUUAGAUUUAUAAUUAUAAAGUUGUUAAAUUUUCUGUUAAAUUUAUAAACUAUAUUUGUCU